rnacentral:rRNA from 1 species
CCUGACUCCAUUCCGAACUCAGAAGUGAAACGAAAUAGCGCCGAUGGUAGUGUGGGGGUUCCUCAUGUGAGAGUAGGACAUCGCCAGGC